AAGACUAUACUUUCAGGGAUCAUUUCUAGAGUGUGUUACUAGAGAAGUUUCUCUGAAUGUGUAGAGCACCGGAAGCCACGAGGAGGAGGUGCAGUGUUCUCUCCUGAGCGUGAAGCUGGCUCUCGGUGUUGCUUUAGUGCAACUGUCAUUUGCCAUUGAUGAUCGUUCUUCUCUUCCUUUGUGAGAGUAAGAGGGAGAGGACACAGUCUGAGUGGUU
ensembl:snoRNA